rnacentral:rRNA from 1 species
CAUAGUUCGUGCUGACUGGAAUGUUAUGCGAACGAAAGAUCCGUCGCUUCAGGAUGAGUCUGCGGCCGAUUAGGUAGUUGUUGGGGUAACGGCCCAACGAGCCUGUCAUCGGUACGGGUUGUGGGAGCAAGAGCCCGGAGAUGGAUUCUGAGACACGAAUCCAGGCCCUACGGGGCGCAGCAGGCGCGAAAACUUUACCAUGCGGGCAACCGUGAUAAGGAAACCCCGAGUGCCAGCACAGGCUGGCUGUCCGCCAGUGUAAAUAACUGGUGAAGAAAGGGCCGGGCAAGACCGGUGCCAGCCGCCGCGGUAAUACCGGCGGCUCGAGUGGUGGCCACUACUACUGGGCUUAAAGGGUCCGUAGCUUGAUAUGCGAGUCUCUUGGGAAAUCCGCCAGCUUAACUGGUGGGCGUUCAGGGGAAACUGCAUUUCUAGGGACCGGGAGAGGUGAGAGGUACUGCCGGGGUAGGAGUGAAAUCCUGUAAUCCCGGUGGGACCACCUAUGGCGAAGGCAUCUCACCAGAACGGGUCCGACAGUGAGGGACGAAAGCUGGGGGAGCAAACCGGAUUAGAUACCCGGGUAGUCCCAGCUGUAAACGAUGCGCGUUAGGUGUGUCAGUGACCACGUGUCACUGAGGUGCCGAAGGGAAACCGUGAAACGCGCCGCCUGGGGAGUACGGUCGCAAGGCUGAACUUAAAGGAAUUGGCGGGGGAGCACAAUCACU